GACCAGAUGGAAGCACUGCCUUCUAGCUGAUGUCUGUUCCUCUGGGCUGAGGGUCUCAUUCAGUUUGGGGCCCAGAUUCCAAGGGCCCAAGAGAGGCUCUGGAGUGCCCUGCCAAAGGUCUCUCUACCCUCUCUCCUGUCCUCUGUGGCUCCUGCCCCAGCCCUUCUUUCUGGCUCUGUCCUCUCUUCCAGGGCCGAAGUCCUCUCUCAGCCUUGACCCCCUCUCUCUUCAGUGAUUCCUGAGCCAGGUUAAAUCCCAGUGGCCACAGAGACAGCCAGGCUAGACCCAGAGGGGGCUGGAGCUGGCAGAGGGGUUCCCAGGCAGGGAGACGGGGAGGAAGGGGGGUGGCUGGGAAGGUCAAGCAGAGGGUCAGGAAUGAGGUGAUGCUUGAAGGCUCCUGAAGAGAGGCUGCCGCCUCCCCAACAUCCAGCAUGUCCACAGAGCCCUGGACUCGGACCAGGAAGGACAGUCUUCUCCUCCAGGCUACAGAGCAGCCUGUGUCAGCCCUGGGCAGCUCCCCACCUUCCUCUCUCCCCUCGUCAACCUCUGGGGGCUGCUUGGGGAGUGGAAACCCUGCUGUAUUCCACGCCAGGUAAGAGGUUAGCAAUUCAGGUCCCCUACCUGGACCCAGGCAGUUCCCAAGCUUGCUCAGAAGGCUCUGAGGGCUCGCUUCUAGUCUGAGGAGGUGAGACAAGGCAUCAGUGUCGCUUUCUCAGGCAGGCCUCCCUUAGCCAUCCUAAGAAAGUCCCACCUUGCUAUUCUUUAUUGCUGAACCCAGUUCGUUUCCUUCGUAGGGCUUAUAACAAUGUGUAACUAGAGGUAUAUAUUCAUUUCUUUACUUGCUUACUCGUUAUUGUCUGUCUUCUCCACUAGAGUGGAAGUUCCCUGAAGUCAGAUGCUCUUCUUCCUACGUGUUCACUGCGUAUCUGUGCCUGGUGCCUGGCACAGGGCAAGGCAUAAGCUUCCAGUGAAUGGAUGAAUGAUGAAUGACUGGAUGAAGAAACUGAGGACCCAAGGGGGAAAUAACUUGCCAGAGAUGACAUGGUUAACAAGUGAUGGGGAGCAGGCAAAAAAUCCAGGCGCCCCAGCUUCUAGGUCAGCGUUCCUUCUACAGCCCGCGCUGCCCAGCCCCAGAGAUGCCUGUGCCAGCAGAGAUUAUGGUCAGGGAGGCAGCCACUGGGCCAUACUCUAAUCAGGAGUUUUCCAGAGGCUCCAUGAUGUGUGAUAGCCUAACAGAUGGAAUGCAAAACCAGAUAUGAGAAUCUAGCUGCCUUCUAGUAAACCAGGCAUUAAAGAGUUUCACAAGACUACAAAACCAUAGCCUCUUGUCACUACAUUUGUUCUGC